AUGUCGUCGGAGCCGCCGCCCGCGGGGCCCUCCGAGGCCUCCAGCCCGUCGGCCUCCCCGCCGAAGGAGUCGGAGCCCUCCGGCUCCGCGGCCGCCGCCGCCCCCGCCGCCGCGCCAGGGGCCGCCCACGAGACGAACGCGCUGUGGGUCGGCAACCUGCCCGCGCACGCGGGCGAGGACGACGUCAUGGCGGCCUUCGCCCCGCACGAGGCGCUAGACUGCGCCGUCACGCGCGCCGGCUCCCGCAGCUACGCGUUCGUCCUCUUCCGCUCCGUCGCCGAGUCCCGGGCCGCCCUCGAGGCGCUCCGCGGGUCCAAGGUCAAGGGCGCCUUCAUCCGGGUCGAGUUCGCCCGGCCGGCUAGAGCUGUUAGGAACCUAUGGGUUGGAGGAAUUAGUCCGUCUAUUUCAAAGCAGGAGGUAGAGGAGGAGUUUCAAAAGUUUGGGAAGAUUGAAGGUGUUGCAUUCUCCCAUGAUCAAACUUCUGCAUACAUCGACUUUGAGAAGCUGGAAGAUGCCAUUUCUGCCCAUAGAGCCUUGAAUGGGGCAGAUUUAGGGGGCAAGGAAUUAUGUGUUGAUUUCCAGAGGUCCAGAGGCAGAGCGGAACGGUCGGAAGCAGGCAACUUCAACAGUAGAGGAUCAUUGCCACCCGGUGAAAUUGGAGUUGGACAUGCAAAGGGUUCUGCUGGAGUACGAAUGAGAGAGGCGAAAAAUCCUACCAAUGUUCUCUGGGUGGGUUUACCCAAUACACAUAAAGUUAAUGAGGAGGCACUAAGGCGGGCUAUGGCAGCACAUGGUGUGGUUACAAACAUCAAGGUUUUUCCAGAAAGGCAGUAUGCUUUUGUGGAGUUUGCAACCAUUGAAGGAGCUUCUAAUGCUAAGAAUCUUCUAGAUGGGCGUCUUUUCAAUGAUACAAGGAUUCAUGUUCUUUUCUCCAGCAGUGGGCUUGCACCCAGUAAACUUGAUAGCCUAACACCGCCUGCUGGGUUCCCUAGAUCAGAGAUGUACAAUGAUAGUCCAUAUGCCGCACCUGAUUAUUUUGGUGCUGGUCGCAGUAGUCAUGGCACAUCACAAGGGUAUGAUCCUCGACGUGGAAGAUCAAGAUACUUGGACUAUGGUGCAAUGCCAAUCACUGGUGGUAUCCUUCCAGCACCUGAAGCUGGCUCAUCUUUGUUGACUGGACAUUCUGGUCAUAAUGCGCUUGAUCCGAGAGAAGCCAAAAGGGUGAGGUUGGAUGCUGGCAUGGACCCUUACCAUGUAAGGGCAGGCAGUGAGGGUCUUCAGCCAGUUGCUGAUGAGAGCUUUAGCUCUGUUAUUCGGAUCCAGGGCACGGUACACCAAACGUCAUCCCUUGGGCACUUCUGGCGUGGCAGUAUUGCCAAAGGUGGAUCUCCUGUUUGUCGUGCUCGCUGCUUGCCUAUAAGGAGGGGCAUUGAGAUACCUUUGCCGGACAUUGUUAAUAUCUCCGCUAGAACAGGAUUAGAUAUGCUGGCAAAACACUAUGGAGAUGCUUCGGGUUUUGAAAUUGUCUUCUUCUUACCAGACAGUGAAGAUGAUUUUGUGUCUUACACUGAAUUUCUGCGGUACUUGGGCUCAAAAAGUCGCGCAGGGGUUGUUAAAGUUGAUGCAGGAACUACUUUGUUUUUGGUCCCGCCAUCUGAUUUCCUGACGAAUGUUCUGCAAGUUGAUGGUCCAGAGCGCCUUUAUGGCGUGGUACUGCACAUUCCACAGAUGUCCAAUGCUGCUGUCCAGAGACCUGUACUGACUGGACCAGAGUCACAAGCUUAUUAUGAUGGUGGUGAUACCAUGCUAGCGAUGCAAAGAAAUUACAAUAUGGGCUCUGUUAAUAGCAACCAUCAUCAGGAUGCUGAUUAUCGGGGAUCUUUACGUGAGGAAGCAGUUCAGUCAGGUGUAUCAAGCUUUCCCAUGAGCCAAAUAGCAGGACAGCAAGAACAGUCACUCAAGCCUGAUAUUAUGGCCACAUUAGCUAAACUUAUGCCAAAUGUGCAGUCAACAGUUCCAGCAAAUAGUCAGGUAACCCCGAGCUCCACAGGAAGACCUGUGGCAUCACUGUUGCAUGAUGCAUCUACUUUUCUUAUCGUAUGGGAAGAUGAAAAUCUAACACUGACCUCUUAUUUAUCCUUUGAGCAGGUGGGUAAUCUUCAGCAAUCGGGUCAGCAGUUCGGCAGGCAAGCUCCAGCAAGCUAUGGGGGCAUGGUCGGUGCUCAGGAGCAGCACCCAAUACAUACUGCUUACAACCCUGAGGUUACCUUAAGCUUGCCUCCACCACCUCCUCUCCCUACACAAGGACCAGUGUCUGCUCUCCCUACACAGCAGCAGUAUCAACCAGAACACUAUUACGCUCCUCAAAACAAUUACGGUUCCUUAGGAACAGUUAGCCAGUCUAACUUCCAGUCAAGCAAUACCAACCUACCAGUCCCUCCCCCACACCAAAUGAAUGAUGGACCAUUGGCAGCAAAUAACCAGAUGGGGAAUUUGGCACAGCUCCAUCAGUCAACGUCAUUCCCCACUGAUAGGGUAAACUCGGAUUUCUCCUCUCAGGUACAACAGCAACAAAAUGUUGCUUCUGGUUCUGCUCAAGCUACUGAAGAGGCGGAUAAGAACAAGAAGUACCAGGCAACGCUCCAGUUUGCUCACAAUUUACUGCUGCAGCUACAACGUGGAUCUGGAAACCAAUCUUGA
rnacentral:rRNA from 1 species